UACGGGGGGGGCAAGCGUUGUUCGGAAUCACUGGGCGUAAAGGGCUCGUAGGCGGCCAACUAAGUCGGACGUGAAAUCCCUCAGCUUAACUGGGGAACUGCGUCCGAUACUGGAUGGCUUGGAUUCGGGAGAGGGAUGCGGAAUUCCAGGUGUAGCGGUGAAAUGCGUAGAUAUCUGGAGGAACACCGGUGGCGAAGGCGGCAUCCUGGACCGAUAUUGACGCUGAGGAGCGAAAGCCAGGGGAGCAAACGGG
rnacentral:rRNA from 1 species